rnacentral:rRNA from 1 species
UGGGAGCUGGUAGUCCACGCCGUAAACGAUGAAUGCUAGGUGUUAGGGGUUUCGAUACCCUUGGUGCCGAAGUUAACACAUUAAGCAUUCCGCCUGGGGAGUACGGUCGCAAGACUGAAACUCAAAGGAAUUGACGGGGACCCGCACAAGCAGUGGAGUAUGUGGUUUAAUUUGAAGCAACGCGAAGAACCUUACCAGGUCUUGACAUCCCUCUGACCGGUGUAGAGAUAGGUCUUUCCUUCGGGACAGAGGAGACAGGUGGUGCAUGGUUGUCGUCAGCUCGUGUCGUGAGAUGUUGGGUUAAGUCCCGCAACGAGCGCAACCCUUAUGCUUAGUUGCCAGCAGGUCAAGCUGGGCACUUUAAGCAGACUGCCGGUGACAAACCGGAGGAAGGUGGGGAUGACGUCAAAUCAUCAUGCCCCUUAUGACCUGGGCUACACACGUACUACAAUGGCCGGUA